rnacentral:misc_RNA from 1 species
UUAAGUUCAGCGGGUAGCCCUACCUGAUUUGAGGUCAGAGUCACAGAAUAUGAGGGGUUGUGAGCAGACAUCCCACGGCCCGGCCCAGACGAAACUUAUUACGUCAGGCAUGGGGUCGAGGAUCCCACUGAGACCUUUGAGGCGAGCCGGCUCGACACCGGCAGACGCCCAUCUCCAAGCCGCCCCGAGUCCACAAGGAA